CACUCUUGGGGUGAUUUCAGUGGCUUCAGACACUUGGACCUGUUGAGGUGUAGCCCAUCUUCCAGUGCUGCUUGGAGGCUUUUCAGUCCACCAGUUUGUAGAAUAUCUACGUUGACUGGUAGGAGAUAGAUGGUCCUUGAAGAUUUUGUAUUUCGGCUGCAGUAUGGAGAAGAGCACUCAGCUUUUUCGAGUGCUCUUUGUCGAGAUAAUGACAGAAUGAUCCACUGUCACAGAAUGCAGAGCAAAGGCACUGGCAAAAGGAAUCAAAGGCACAGGUUUAUGUCUGCAUGCAACCACUCAGAGCAAGGGGUCAGGUAGGACAGUCGCUUUUU